CCUCCACGACUCGGCCGCGUCGACGUUUGAUCCUGGCUCAGGAUGAACGCUAGCUACAGGCUUAACACAUGCAAGUCGAGGGGCAGCGGGAAGUUAGCUUGCUGACUUUGCCGGCGACCGGCGCACGGGUGAGUAACGCGUGGGUAACCUGCCUCAUACAGGGGGAUAACAGUUAGAAAUGACUGCUAAUACCGCAUAAGCGCACAGCUUCGCAUGAAGCAGUGUGAAAAACUCCGGUGGUAUGAGAUGGACCCGCGUCAGAUUAGCUAAUUGGCAGGGUAACGGCCUACCAAGGCGACGAUCUGUAGCCGACCUGAGAGGGUGACCGGCCACAUUGGGACUGAGACACGGCCCAAACUCCUACGGGAGGCAGCAGUGGGGAAUAUUGCACAAUCGGGGAAACCCUCGAUGCAGCGACGCCGUCGACGCGGCC
rnacentral:rRNA from 1 species